CCAAAACUGAAAUUGAAGAUUAUAAAUCAGAAGAGCGUGGCCAUCCUUCAGACCCCUCCAGACAUCCAAUCAGAACAUUCAAGGGAUGGUGAUAUGGAUGAUAGUCGAGAAGGAGAACUUAUGGAUUGUGAUGGAAAAUCAGAAUCUAGUCCUGAGCGGGAAGCUGUGGAUGAUGAAACUAAGGGAGUGGAAGGAACAGAUGGUGUCAAAAAGAGAAAAAGGAAACCAUACAGACCAGGUAUAGUGCCUGAGGUAGACAUUUCAAUAUCAUCAACACUUGGUUAAUUAAAGAAAAAUACAAUACUGAAGACUUCAAUUAAAAUUAAAUAUUCAGGAUUAAGAACUGUCUAAACAAAAAUAUGUGCACAUAAAUUAAAGA
ensembl:lincRNA